rfam:Capsicum annuum cultivar Zunla-1 chromosome 7, whole genome shotgun sequence
GGAUGCGAUCAUACCAGCACUAACGCACCGGAUUCCAUCAGAACUCCGAAGUUAAGCGUGCUUGGGCGAGAGUAGUACUAGGAUGGUUGACCCCUUGGGAAGUCCUCGUGUUGCANNNN